UGUUAAAGUUCCAUUCUCUGGAGGCCUCUGAAGGAGGUCUGAUCAGCAACUGCUGUUAAAAACAAAACAGCCUUGGGCUGGGAAUCAAAUGGAAGUUCAUUACCUGGAAUUCAUCUUUUACAGCUGUUUCACAAAGACUGAUGAUGCAUAUAUCAGAUGCUGUAGAAACAUAGGAUAUCUUUUUGGAGCCAUUAAAAGAGAAGAAAACACAAUUGCUUCCAAAGCAGAGUAAACAUAUCUAAAAAUCAGAAUAACAGCAUAGGUUUGCUGAGCCUGUAGUGUAAACAGCAAACAGUAAGACAACAAAUGCAAAUUUGUCAUAUUCACAAUGCCUCCUGUGAGUCAUGAGCAAGAAUUGGAAGUUGGAAGGCUACUCUGUGAAGAGCAGACACAGCUGAGAAGCUGCAGCAGAUAUAGAACCAGUUCUGACAGACAACAGCAACUGUCAACCAACCAGGCCUUCACUGCUAAGGGCAUGCCUAAAUGUCUUGGGACCCUGGUAACUUGACUGCCUUCUUCCACAUGACCCUGCCUGAAUGCUAUGGUCCUCAUCAGAAUUCCUCCCCAGAGCAUCCCCACCUUAUGAAGUGAGUAACAGCUGAAGACCGUCUUCCCCAAAUGUGGAAUGCCUUCCCCAGGGAGGCCUACCUGGUGCAAAGUUUGUCUUUUCUGUGCUAGGCAAAGACCUUUUUAUUUGCUCAGGUCUUCCAGUGCUGGUUUAAUUUAUAUGUUCCUUCGCUUUGACUUGGAUAUUGUUUUUCAGAUUGUUGAAAGACAUCCUAUGUCCAACUGAAAGGCAGCGUUUAUGCUUUUUAAGUGAAUCAACUUGAUAAAUACAUUAAAUAAAUAACACAAAUGUGAUGCAUAGUACUAAAAACACAGAAUACAGUCUUCCAGUCAUUGUCCCCUGCAACACCCUUUCAUGUCAUUAUGGC